rnacentral:rRNA from 1 species
GUCCACGCCAUAAACGAUGAAUACUAGGUGUUGGAGGAUUUAAACCCUUCGGUACCGAAGCUAACGCGCUAAGUAUUCCGCCUGGGGAGUACGACCGCAAGGUUAAAACUCAAAGGAAUUGACGGGGGCCCGCACAAGCAGCGGAGCGUGUGGUUUAAUUCGAUGCAACGCGAAACACCUUACCUGGACUUGACGUGUACGUAGUAGUGAAGCGAAAGCGGAACGACCCUUCGGGGAGCGUAUGCAGGUGCUGCAUGGCUGUCGU